rnacentral:rRNA from 1 species
AGUCGAGGGGCAGCGAGGCGGUGCUUGCACCGCUGUCGGCGACCGGCGCACUGGUGAGUAACACGUAUGCGACCUGCCCCCUACAGGGGAAUAACCCGUAGAAAUGCGGCCUAAUUCCCCAUAGUCCCAAAGGCUGCAUGGCUUUUGGGGGAAAGGUUCAUUCCGGUAGGGGAUGGGCAUGCGGCGCAUUAGCUAGUUGGCGGGGUAACGGCCCACCAAGGCGACGAUGCGUAGGGGUUCUGAGAGGAAGGUCCCCCACACUGGUACUGAGACACGGACCAGACUCCUACGGGAGGCAGCAGUGAGGAAUAUUGGUCAAUGGGCGAGAGCCUGAACCAGCCAAGUCGCGUGAGGGAAGACGGUCCUACGGAUUGUAAACCUCUUUUGUCGGGGAGUAAUAGGCGGGACGUGUCCUGCUGUGAGAGUACCCGAAGAAAAAGCAUCGGCUAACUCCGUGCCAGCAGCCGCGGUAAUACGGAGGAUGCGAGCGUUAUCCGGAUUUAUUGGGUUUAAAGGGUGCGCAGGCGGCGUGCCAAGUCAGCGGUCAAAGUUCCGGGCUCAACCCGGUGAUGCCGUUGAAACUGGUGUGCUUGAGUGCGUGCGAGGGAGGCGGAAUGCGUUGUGUAGCGGUGAAAUGCAUAGAUAUGACGCAGAACUCCGAUUGCGAAGGCAGCUUUCCAGCACGCCACUGACGCUGAGGCACGAAAGCGUGGGGAUCGAACAGGAUUAGAUACCCUGGUAGUCCACGCAGUAAACGAUGACUACUAUCUUUUCGGUUCGACUGAGGAUUGUGAGGAACAGCGAAAGCGUUAAGUAGUCCAC